rnacentral:lncRNA from 1 species
CAGAAUAGUUUUCUCAAGAAUUAAUUUUAAUUUUUCCUUUAUUAAUCUCAUCCACUCCAUUUAAUCGUUUUUAUCGCUGGGUGUUGAAAGAGUCUCCGUCAACCUCCCUCACGAUCGUGCUCACAGUAGGAGGAAUUCCGGUUGUACCUUGGGGCGGUGUUUCCGGUUAAUCCCGCACGUAAGGACGGGACCAAGCUUAAGUAUUUUGAACCCGUGACUUUGGGCUCAACAAGUUAUUAGGAUUAGCACGCCACAAAUAAGGGA